rnacentral:tRNA from 1 species
GCCCGCCUAGCUCAAUCGGCUAGAGCGUCAGACUUUUACGGACAUUCCGUGUUUACGUAAUCUGAAGGCUGCGAGUUCGACCCUCGCGGUGGGCU